GCUGGGCAUGAUGCCGCAUGCCUGUAAUCCCAGCUACUUGGGAGGCUGAGGCAGGAGAAUUGCUUGAACCCAGGAGGUGGAGGUUGCAGUGAGCUGAGAUGGUGCCAUUGCACUCCAGCCUGGGUGACAGAGCAAGACUCUGUCUCGA
rfam:Homo sapiens chromosome 21, GRCh38 reference primary assembly.